rnacentral:rRNA from 1 species
AACGGAAAGGCCCUGCUUGCAGGGUACUCGAGUGGCGAACGGGUGAGUAACACGUGGGUGAUCUGCCCUGCACUUCGGGAUAAGCUUGGGAAACUGGGUCUAAUACCGGAUAGGAGCCAUCUUUAGUGUGGUGGUUGGAAAGUUUUUUCGGUGUAGGAUGAGCUCGCGGCCUAUCAGCUUGUUGGUGGGGUAAUGGCCUACCAAGGCGGCGACGGGUAGCCGGCCUGAGAGGGUGUACGGCCACAUUGGGACUGAGAUACGGCCCAGACUCCUACGGGAGGCAGCAGUGGGGAAUAUUGCACAAUGGGCGCAAGCCUGAUGCAGCGACGCCGCGUGGGGGAUGAAGGCCUUCGGGUUGUAAACUCCUUUCGCUAGGGACGAAGCUUUGUGUGACGGUACCUAGAUAAGAAGCACCGGCUAACUAC